CAAUAGCGUAUAUUAAAGUUGUUGCAGUUAAAAAGCUCGUAGUUGGAUUUCGGGGCAGCCUGGCUGGUCCGCCGCAAGGCGAGUACUGGUCAGCCGCCCUUCCUCUCGAAAGCCCCGGCUGCUCUUUAUUGCAGUGGUCGGGUAGUUCGGGACGUUUACUUUGAAAAAAUUAGAGUGUUCAAGGCAGGCCUACGCCUGAAUACAUUAGCAUGGAAUAAUGGAAGAGGACCUCGGUCCUAUUUUGUUGGUUUCCAGGACCGAAGUAAUGAUUAAGAGGGACAGUUGGGGGCAUUCGUAUUUAAUUGUCAGAGGUGAAAUUCUCGGAUUUAUGAAAGACGAACAACUGCGAAAGCAUUUGCCAAGGAUGUUUUCAUUAA
rnacentral:rRNA from 1 species